rnacentral:rRNA from 1 species
UACGUAGGGUGCAAGCGUUGUCCGGAAUUAUUGGGCGUAAAGGGCUCGUAGGCGGUCCAUCGCGUCGGGAGUGAAAAGCUGGGGCUUAACCCCAGUCCUGCUUCCGAUACGGGUGGACUAGAGGUAGGCAGGGGAGAACGGAAUUCCUGGUGUAGCGGUGAAAUGCGCAGAUAUCUGGAGGAACACCGGUGGCGAAGGCGGCAUCCUGGACCGACACUGACGCUGAGGAGCGAAAGCCAGGGGAGCAAACGGG